GACGAACGCUGGCGGCGUGCUUAACACAUGCAAGUCGAACGGUAAGGCCCUUCGGGGUACACGAGUGGCGAACGGGUGAGUAACACGUGGGUGAUCUGCCCUGCACUUCGGGAUAAGCCUGGGAAACUGGGUCUAAUACCGGAUAGGACUCCGGACUGCAUGGUCUGGGGUGGAAAGCUUUUGCGGUGUGGGAAGGGCCCGCGGCCUAUCAGCUUGUGGGUGGGGUGAUGGACUACCAAGGCGACGACGGGUAGCCGGCCUGAGAGGGUGACCGGCCCAACUGGGGCUGAGAUACGGCGCAGACUCCUACGGGAGGCAGCAGUGGGGAAUAUUGCACAAUGGGCGCAAGCCUGAUGCAGCGACGCCGCGUGAGGGAUGACGGCCUGCGGGUUGUGAACCUCUUUCAGCAUCGACGAAGCGAAAGUGACGGUAGGUGCAGAAGAAGGACCGGCCAACUACGUGCCAGCAGCCGCCGUAA
rnacentral:rRNA from 1 species